GACAGAGGAUGCAAGUGUUAUCCGGAAUUAUUGGGCGUAAAGGGUUUGUAGGUGGUAAAUUAAGUCUUUGGUUAAAUAUUUAGGCUUAACCUAAAACCAGCUAAAGAUACUAAUAUACUAGAGGGUAGGAGAGGUAAAGGUAAUUUUCAGUGGAGCAGUGAAAUGCGUAGAUAUUGAAAGGAGCACCAAAGGCGAAGGCACUUUACUGGAAUAUUCCUGACACUGAGAAACGAAAGCUAGGGGAGCAAACGGG
rnacentral:rRNA from 1 species